rnacentral:lncRNA from 1 species
ACCUAUGGCCUCGGCCCAUCGCCUCCUCUUCCCAUUAUGGUGUCGCCCUGCCACAUCCUCUCCCCAUCAUGGGUUCGCCUCACCGCCAACUCUUUCGCCAUCGUGUCUUAGCGCAGAUCUCGGUGCGAGCUGUUGGACACGAUGAGGGAGUGGGCAUCUUAGAGCAAACCAGAUCCUCUGCGUCUAUGCGAGCACCUCAGGCUUAGGCGGCGCGAGAUGGAGCGGAUUCGCGCCCUCGUCAAGGGACAUGGAGCUCGGGACGCUGCGCUCCCUUCUGCUUCUUCUUCUCGGAAUGUCGUGCCGCCAUGGAAGGUCUCCCUUUUCCUCCCUCCCCCUCUUCCCCUUUCUCGUUUCGAUUUGGUACGGUGCUUCCAUCCCUGAUGUGGUUCCUCGCGCCUCUCUUUCGAUAUGUAGUUGAGAUGGUAGAUCUAGCAUCCAUACUCGCUUUACAUACAACAUAACACACGAGAUUUUUUGAUAUCAGCUAGCUCUAAUUUGUCAGUAUCAGCUAGCUCUAAUUUUUCAGUAUCAAUGAUGCUUGGGUAUAUUCAUUUGUGGAUUUAGAUUCUGGGUGGCUUAAUUUGUCACUAUCAGCUAGCUCUAAUUGAUGUUGAGUUGUUGCUUUUUGUGGCAGUUGCAUGAUUUGAGUGGUAUUCUCACGUUGUAAUGUUGCAUUAUUACUGACAAUUAGGGUCUGUUCGGUUUCCCUCCCAGAGCGAACGGAGUUGUAGUAGAAAAUGUUGGAGCGAUCAAACAGGUGCUCCACAGAUCCUUGGAUUUUAAGGAGCUUGUGGAUUGCCGAACAGGGCCUUGGUAACCGAGAGUUCCAGGGUCACAACCAAGUUAGUAUCUGCACAUUUUGUAUCAGAAAUGCAUGUGGCUCCAUCAAUUUACAUCUGAACUAUUUUAUGCUUAUGCCAUUCUAUGCACAACAGACAUGCCUUCAGCACAUCGCCA